AGGAUGAACGCUGGCGGCGUGCCUAACACAUGCAAGUCGAACGUCCUGGUCUCGCAAGAGGCAGGGAGUGGCGGACGGGUGAGUACCACGUGGGUCAUCUACCGGUGAGGUGAGGAAUAACCGGCGAGAAAUCGCCGACAAGACCGCAUAGGCUCGAUGCAAGUCGAGCAAAGCUCUUUCGAGAGAGGGAGCGCCACACGAGGAGCCUGCGCCCGAUUAGCUAGCUGGUGGAGUAACGGUUCACCAGGGCGACGAUCGGUAGCUGGUCUGAGAGGACGAUCAGCCACACUGGGAUUGAGAACGGGCCCAGACUCCUACGGGGGGCAGCAGUGAGGAAUUUUCGUCAAUGGGGGCAACCCUGAACGAGCAACGCCGCGUGCAGGAAGAAGGUUUUCGGAUCGUAAAACUGCUUUUCUCGGGGAAGAGAAUGGACGGUACCCGAGGAAUCAGCCCCGGCUAACUACGUGCCAGCAGCCGCGGU
rnacentral:rRNA from 1 species